GGUUUUUUUUGUUUGUUUGUUUUUUCUUCCAAAGGCUUUUGACUUAUUUUGUUGGACUGUUGUCAUGUAUUGAAAUAAUAUGAAUUAAUAGUGGCUAACUGUGGAUUAAGCAGAACACAUACUGUUUGUUUUUUUUGCUAAAACUUUGAUAUGCUGUUCACAUUAACCAAAAGGGAAGCAUGUUAAAUAAUUCAAGUUACAUGAAAUGUCUCAGUCUAGAAAAUUUAUAGUUUAGGGCAACAAAAAGUAUGGAGGCGCACGAAGUUCCAGCAGCACAGCCUAACCAAGCAACUUUUAAUAUGUACUCCAACACAACUGGCUGUAAAUAUGGCUUGAGUCAGUGUAACCACAUUUCUGCUGGAGGCUUUCUCUCACCCAGACCCACAGGCUAAGUUGCUGUCCUGAGGUGAGUUCCUGUGCAGCAGUCUGAGCACUGGUGAUUGGUGGCAGUUGGGGAGGGGAGGCAGAGAUGUAAUUUUAUAAGCAUCCGGCUUUGUUGGCAGCCUGGUAGAUAGACUUAACUUGCUUAGUUCAUCAGCCAUCUAUUCAUUAAUGUGAACACCAGGAGGCUUAUGAAUACCUGAAAGGAACAGUUCGUUCUUUUGGUUGUAGCACUUUACUCAGGCUUGAACUGGCAGUGUAACCACAUCCUGACAGCAUGGUAAAGUCUCAAGUCAUUAAGUUACUGACUGUUGAAUAGGAGAGUGGUAUUGUUUCUAUCUUUCAUUUCAUGGAUUGAGUCUGCAUAUCCUGAUUUAAAUUUGGUAAUAGCAUUGGGAAAUCUAACUUGCUCUCAUAAGUCAAUUUGAAUCUCAUUACAAAAAUUAUCAUGAGGUACUCAUUGUAAGACUUCCUACCUUAAUUCCCUUUCAUAGUCGUAGAUUAUAAUUUGCCUUAAAUGAUGUGCAUAGCACAAUUCUUUCUUUCCUCCCUUUUGCUUGCCGAUGUUCUCCAUGUUAAAGGUGCUGUGCUUUUGUUUUUUAACCUGUAAUUUGACAUACGUUUGCAUGUGAAUUUUGUGACAUGUACCUGUAGAAAUGUUCAUUGUCUUAUUGCUCCCAGAAUUAAGAGAGUGUUGUAAAUGCAAUAUUCAUC
rnacentral:lncRNA from 1 species